ACAGCAAUACACGGCCUCCGUUGUGCAUGUGUGAUGUCACUAAUUCAGAAAGGCCCUGCCCCUCUGCAACUAAGUCAGCGUUUAAGCACACUGCGAGUGCAGACAUGAGUCGGGUGCUUGUAUGUGUGCUGUCGGCUGCUUGGAGCCUGGGAAUCAGCGGCCAGACGGUGCACCAGCCGGAACAAGGCGUCUACUCCUUGGAGGGUGCAGAAGUGACGCUAGACUGCAGCUAUGACAGAGCGGGGAACAGCCAUUACAUCUUCUGGUACAAACAAGAAGUGAACUCAUUGCCUGACUUCAUCCUGAGCACAUCUCAGUUCGGUCAGGGCAAGAAGGGAGAAAAGUACGGUGAAAGGUUUCGCUGCAGCAUGGAUGCCAGCGCUCGGCAAGCUCCUCUGCAUAUCGAACGCGUGAAGCCCAGCGACUCGGGAGUCUUCUACUGCGCCCUGGAGCUCACACUGACACAUCCACUGGCGUGCCUGCACAAAAACACCUGCACCCGCCUCCUCUCAUGAGUGACAUUGGGGGCACUCUGGCCUCACCGGAGUAGAUUGGUCUCACUGUAGCAAGAGCUGCAACUCAGCGUGACAAGAGGCUGUGCUCGAGGAUGCUUUUGUAUUGUCUUGUUUUUUUACUUCACUCUGCUCUGUAGUGGGUCUGAUACUCUGUCUGCUCUUUAGGUUAUCCCAUCCGAUACGACAUGUACGUAGUUUUCUUCUGGUAUUAUCCAAUUUCUUCUCUUCAUUUCUCUUCUCAAGUUCAGUCAGUCAGCUCAGACGACAACUGACGCUGCUCACCAGUGUAAUGGCAGCUUACUUGGCAAAUGUGGCAGGCGAAGCUGCAAUAAAAUGACAAAAGUAGCGAAAAGACAUCAAACUCCAUCUACAUAUUGCACAUGUACAAUCCAAAUGCAUAGUUCUAUCCACAUGAAUCCCUCAGGCCGCUGUCACAGACUGAGUCUGCCGCUGUUGUAUCAUCAUGCGACCACAAUGAACCAAUUGAAUCAUUUGUUUACCGGAACAGAUUUUUUUUUUUAAUUGAUCGGAAUCUGUGCUUAAAAUAGAAGCACUAAUAAAGUAAAAUACAGCCUUAUUCUCUUUGUAGACAGAAAAUAGUCUAUUCACAGUUGGAUUUUCGACAUUUAU